rnacentral:rRNA from 1 species
GACGAACGCUGGCGGCGUGCUUAACACAUGCAAGUCGAACGGAAAGGCCCUGCUUUUGUGGGGUGCUCGAGUGGCGAACGGGUGAGUAACACGUGAGUAACCUGCCCUUGACUUUGGGAUAACUUCAGGAAACUGGGGCUAAUACCGGAUAGGAGCUCCUGCUGCAUGGUGGGGGUUGGAAAGUUUCGGCGGUUGGGGAUGGACUCGCGGCUUAUCAGCUUGUUGGUGGGGUAGUGGCUUACCAAGGCUUUGACGGGUAGCCGGCCUGAGAGGGUGACCGGCCACAUUGGGACUGAGAGACGGCCCAGACUCCUACGGGAGGCAGCAGUGGGGAAUAUUGCACAAUGGGCGGAAGCCUGAGGCAGCAACGCCGCGUGCGGGAUGACGGCCUUCGGGUUGUAAACCGCUUUCGCCUGUGACGAAGCGGGAGUGACGGUAAUGGGUAAAGAAGCACCGGCUAACUACGUG